ACUCAAAUGAAUUGACGGGGGCCCGCACAAGCGGUGGAUCAUGUGGUUUAAUUCGAAGCAACGCGAAGAACCUUACCUGGAUUUGACAUCCUCUGAAUACAUUAGAGAUAGUGUAGGCCCGCAAGGGACAGAGAGACAGGUGCUGCAUGGCUGUCGUCAGCUCGUGUUGUGAAAUGUUGGGUUAAGUCCCGCAACGAGCGCAACCCCUGCCUUUGGUUGCCAUCAUUAAGUUGGGCACUCCAGAGGGACUGCCGUCGUUAAGACGGAGGAAGGUGGGGACGACGUCAAGUCCUCAUGGCCUUUAUAUCCAGGGCGACACACGUGAUACAAUGGUAGAUACAAAGGGUAGCGAAGUAGUGAUACGGAGCCAAUCUCAAAAAGUCUAUCUCAGUUCGGAUUGGAGUCUGCAACUCGACUCCAUGAAGUUGGAAUCGCUAGUAAUCGCGGAUCAGCACGCCGCGGUGAAUACGUUCCCGGGCCUUGUACACACCGCCCGU
rnacentral:rRNA from 1 species